rnacentral:lncRNA from 1 species
GGUUACUUGGUUUGCUUUGGAAGAGAAACUGAAUAGAAAAUCCACAGCACAGUAACAUACAUGUUUUCGUUACUUUUCUCCUAUCACCUCUCCUUGUCAGAUUUCUGUUUUCCCUCUGGGAUUUUCCUUUCUGCAGUGUGCUGUAGGGGCUAAAGCUUGAACAACCAGUGAAUUGACUAGACAGAGACUCUGCUUUCUGGGCUGAGCAGAUGCCCGUCUGUUCCAGCGUGGUUCCAGUGCAGAUGAUCAGAUGAUUUGAUUAAAGCGGAAGGAUCUUGGCCAUGCUGCCAUCACUGGUCACCCUGGCGAUAUUUUAAUUCAUCACGUCAUAUGGAAUCCCACUGCAACCCACGCACAGACCAAGAGUGCCACCGAAGAGAUGCUGUUGAAGGCCUCCUGUGUCAAACUGAACCUGUCUCCUUGGUGGAUUAACCAGGGCUGGAGCCAAUCCAUGACCUUGCAUGGCUGCUAGUACUGCAGGUGGUUGGAACAUAGG